rnacentral:misc_RNA from 1 species
AGGUGAGCGCCAAUACGCGCACGUACGCGGAAAGGGGAACCGCCCAUGCGCACAUAAAGGUCCUCACUCUCGCAUACGGGCUCGGCCGGCUGCUGAGAGGCAGCGCCGGCAUCCGCGUUGCGGCAAGCCUCCUGCUGUGCUGAUUGCCGGCACGCCUGGAGCGCUGGCGGCGGCGGCGGCGUACAUUUGAUGGUGCCGCCCCCCUCCCCCUUCCUCCCUCCCCUUCCCGGGCAGCGCCGUCACCGGGCCUACGGCACGGCGCGGUUGCCGAGGUGAUGGGCAAUGCGACCUGGCCGCUGGUGGUGGGCACUGACGGAGGGGAGCUCUGUGUGGCACCUGAGCGCAUUGUGUUGCGGGGGCCGCCGAGGAAGCUGCACCACACCGCGAGGCUGCUGGAGCGUGCGAGCUGGCUGCGCUGCUGCGCGCACGGCCCGCGCGCCGUGGAGGCCGUGGCGCUUAUCCCGAUUAGCCGGUGCUGGCGCGGGGGUGGGCGUGAACCACGGACCGCCACCGAGACCCCUCCAAGGCCGCCCGGUGGUGUGAGGGCGUGUGUGUGUGCUCGCGACGGCCGCCCUCGCCGGUGGCUGUGGCGGGUGCAAGAGUGCGCUGUGCCGCAGCGCGGUGCGCGUGGAGGGCGGGCCGCUCGCGCACGUCGGCGUCCGCGGCGCGGAGGGCAGGCUGCGCUGCGUCGUCGAGGCGCUCUGCGUGAAGCGGGGGCGCGAGGUGUGCGGCGACGCUGUGGCGCUGGCGUGUGCGACCGUCGUCUGUGCCAUCUCACCGUGGAGGGGUGCCCAUCGCGUCGCUCAGCAUGGCCGCCGCUGGGGUGCGGCGCCUCGGCCUGCGCAUGAUUGCCGUGCGCCGCCGCGAGCGGGCGUUCGCGUAGACGCAGCACGCCGUGGGCGAGUUGUUUGCCGCGGUGCAUGAAUGCCGCCUCUCGGCGGGAAGGCGCACGGAUGAGAAGCUGCUGAGGUCGGUGCGGCGCUGGGGGCGCACUGCGUUGCACGAUCCCGCACAGGACGUGUGCGUGUUCCACCACAAGCUUUUCCACUCCGCCUCCCGGUGCUGCUGGCCGCAGGCGCGCGGUGAGAUGAGGAGGUGAUGGGGAAGGGCGGGUGGUGGCUCUGCGCGAGCGCGUGGGUGUCGGGUGGAUGGGAGUGUGCACUGAUGUAGGUGCACCCUCGCGUGCUGCGACUGGCACCGCCGCCCUCCUCGCCCCAUGGGGGCGCACACGGGGUCGCUGCUGCUCGCAUCCCCUGCUCUUUGGUGAUGUUCCUUUUUUUUCUUGUGGUGCAGGGCCGCGGCGGUGCGGGGAUGGGCGGUGCUGCAUCCCGCCCGCACAGACACCGAGGCCGCCCCCCGCACCUCCCCCCCUGCACACACGUGCCCAUCGGCCUCGCGCAAGCGCUCCUAGGAC